CCCCGACAGUUAAUUAAAAUAUAUUAAUUAAGAGAAAUGUGGGAAAGAUAAAUAGAUAAAAAGAUGGCUUUAGGUUCCUCUUUAGAAUAGUAGUUCAACAUGGACACAUCUGAACCCAGACUCUGUUCUGUUUCUCUUCGAUUUCGUUUCUUUUCUUUUUUUUUUUUCUUUCUUUUUUUUUUCGGAGCUGGGGACCGAACCCAGGGCCUUGCGCUUGCUAGGCAAGUGCUCUACCGCUGAGCUAAAUCCCCAACCCCGUUUCUUUUCUUUUUAAAAUUGUAGUUUUAGGUAAGUGUCUGAGCACAUGAGUGCAGUACCUGUAGGUUCCAGGAGGGGGUGCCAGAUCCCCUGGAGCUGGAGUUAGAGGCAGUUGCCUGUGAGCAAGCAGCCUUGGGUGGGAGAAACAAAACUUCCAGAGCACCCAGUGCUCUUUAUCACAGAGCCGUCUCCCAUCCCUUGUUCAGUUGUUUUUGACGGACUAUGUACUCUGUCAUUUCAGAGAUAAAGUGCAAAUCAUUUCCACUCUUUUCUUCCUUUAAAACUCAUCCAGAAGUUUGGAUCAAGGAAAAGGAGUGUGUGUAUAUACAUUUUUAAAAAUUGCUAGGAAGAGGGGUCAAGCCAAGCUUCAAAUAUUUGCAUCCUGAAAAUAUUUAUGUGAUUUGUAAAUAUAUAUACAUAUACAUGUGUAUGUAUAUAUAUAUUUGCAUUCUGCAAAUACUUAGUUUGAAGAACAGUCCUCUGGGCUUUGGUUUGGAGUGCAGGCUAGUCUUGAAAUUGUCACACCCCCACCCCACCCCAGCUUUAAGACUCCUGGAAUUACAGGGGUGGUCCCCGAUGCCUGACCACACUUUCCUCUUGUAAAUAUGCAAAGCGUAUUUUAGUGAUGUCUUUUAAUCACACGAGUCUUGGAACGUCUACUGCACCUGAAGAAGAGAGAAGCAGGGACUAGAGUUCCGGUCGACACCAUCUGCCUUCUAUGCCUCAUCAAACACUGGUGGGUAUAUUUUAAUCUCUGCGGCCAACUCUGUGUCUGAAAAGAAAAAAGACUCGGGAAAGAGGGAAUGAAAAAUGCCUUCAGGAUGGAAAGCCCCUUGCAGGUCCUGUUCCGUGAGCUGACCGUGAGCUGAUCUGGGCAGCCAUUGCUCACUGAGCAUUGUUGGUUCUUAAUCGUCUCAAGGUCCACACGGAAGGGCAAACUCUCUAUUCCUCCAGCAACAGCUUUCAAAGCAAGAACUUCAAUUUCCAUCGACACUAGCCUGAACUGUUUCCCCCUCAAAGCCUUCCCUGAUGCUAGGAACAUUCGUUCAACCGUCCUACCUGCUACAGAGUUCUGACCACAAAGAUCACGAUUCAGUCACAGAGGGACACUUUCACACACCGUCCAGUCAGAGUUGCCUGCCCACAGAUUCUGAGUAGCACAUAGCGGUGUGUGUGUGUGUGUGAAAUCCACACUAUUCCUGCAUUUGGUCUUCAAUGACUGAAACACCAAUUUCUGUGUGUGGAUAGCUUGUAGCCCCAUCAUCAGUGUGAGGCUGCUGGGGUGGGGGCGUGUUAGUUGGCAAUCGUGAUCGUUAUUAGAUUCUGAGCACCCCUCAGGAUGGGCGUGGAACAAUGUAAGAUCACUCCUGUUUGAGUGGAGUUUCUUUGAAGUUGCAGCCAAGAAAGGAUUCCUAGGUAACUAGUCGUUGCUGCUGAGUGUGGAAAGCAGCCAUGAUCUGUCCCGUAGGGGGUUUUCAAAUGGGCUGGGGUCGGUGCUGGGAUAGCAUACGAAGUCCCUUUCACCUGUAUGCCUUUGUAUCCUUACUUGUUAGAGGGGCUACCACGCUAUUCCCGUUCAGGGCUACUAUCAUGCUUCGCUGUGUCUGGCUUCCCUCCCAGUGCUGAGUCAUGAAUGACUGAAAUCCGGCGCGGGGGUGAAAGGUGCCUUUGUUCCUCUCAGUGGCUGCUCUCCCAGGGUGGUCAGUUAUACUCCAACCGGCAUUUCCUGCCAGUACUUUGUCUUGCUUCUGUAAGCUCAGCCUCAAGCCGUUCCCUUUCUCCCUCACUUGCUCAUUCAUGGAAAGGUGAUUCAUUCAUGGUGAUCUCCGUGUGGGGAAGGCACCGUGCAAGGUGCUGGGAUUAGCAACAAGAAUAAGCAGGAUAGGCUCUCCUGGAAAAUUCAAAAUGGCCAAACCCUUAGAGAGAUUAACUUGGUUUCUUACUGAGGAGCUACAGCGUGUGCUGGGGUCACGUGACUGUGCCUAGCAACAAGAGGCUGAAGGGGAGGAGGAGGUGCCCUCAGGAAUGCCGGGAGCUGGUGGUGGUGACGGAAGCCUUGAUGAUCUUUCUGUCACUAAAUACUGUUGGCUUGCUUCUCAAAUUCACCUCGGGGCUCCCAUUUAUUAAAUACUACUGUCUCCAUCUUUCCAUCAGCACCAGUGAGGUGCAAGCUCAGGUCACCUCCUUCUGGGCUCAUGAUCAGUCACCAUUUCGUCUGCUAGUGUGUUUUCUAGUCUCUAUUCCUGCCCUGCUGUAACCCGUUCUGCACACACCCAGAACAUGGGGCGGUCGUAACCCUCUCAAUAGCUUCUCAAAUUCAAAAAACUCAAUAUGGUGGCCUCCCAAGCUCCCAAGACCACACGCUUGGCCACCUGUGAAGGUCCCUCCCAUUUGGACUGCAUCUUCUUUUCUAUAGCCGCAGAGAGUUCUCAGCUUCCUCUUCAUCCUUCGCAGUGUGCUUCCUGCUCCCCCUCUCCCCGUGCGCCCCACAGGUACCACAGGGCUGUUCCCCCUUUUCAUUUAGUUCUCAGCCCUGGUCAGAGCCUUCCCUUCUGCCCAUUGCACCUAAGACAGCAAUCCCUGCCGCUACGGCUCUCCGUCCUCUCGUGCUUCCUUUGCACCCUGAUUGCGUACCGCGUUUCGCUGGGGCCUCCUCAUCACGCUGUGGAAUAGAAGCUUCGUGAAGGUUCUGUCUACUUCGGCUUGGUGCGCGGCCCACAGGAAGUCACAGCUGCUCUUCUCACCCCCUUGAGGAUUGUAACGCAGACUUACACGCAGUCCCGCCGCGACUGUUUGAGUUGUUUAUGGCAGAUAUUGAGUGGCUCAGCAUUCAUUCUCGUGUGAGCAGGGACGUCUGAGUCCAGUCGUGGCGCCAAAAACUCGCAAUUGGGUUCAAAGUCAAGAGAUGAGGAUCCCGGGAUUCGUGUCGGAAAGUGGACAGUGAGAAGUGGGGUUUCAAGUUCUUCUGGAUCUUCUGGAAAGUAAGACCCAUGUUUGCUCACCUGUCUGCUUGAGGCGGGGACUUGAUGGCCUGGGAUUUGGAAUUCAGCUCAAGCUGGUUUUGAAGGCACGAACCCUCCGUCUCAGAUUUCCGAAUGUGAGGAUUUUAGGAGCCACCCAGACAGCCGAAGCUCGAGAAUCUUUGUCACUCACUAAAAAGUAGUCUAUCAUACGCAUGCUAGCUUGGAGGGUCAGUUAUGGUGCAGCAGCUCGGAAGUCUACCUGAGCUCCAGUUUUCAUGGCUAAAAAAGAGAUUGGGCCAGCAAUCAGACCAAGCAAGCAGACAACUAUUCAGCUUGGUGCUUCAGCUUUCUACAGAUCAUCAGAGCUUGUUGGAAAUUUAAGGCGUAUCUCACUGGCCCCAAAAAUUGCACUGCAGUCACAGUAGACAGGGGGAUUGUAGUCAUGGUGGGUGGAAGAGGUGAAUCUUUUCCCCCUCAAAAUAGCAUUUAGAUCCCAUUAACCAAAUAUUCCUACUUCGUUAAUAAGAAAUAAAAUGGGUCUGGAGAGAUGGCUCAGGGUUAAGAGCACUGGCUGCUCUUCCAGAGACUCUGAGUUCAAUUCCCACCAACCACAUGGUGGCUCGCAACCAUCUGUAAUGGGAUCCGAUGCCCUCUUCUGGUGUGUCUGAAGACAGCUGCAGUGUACUCACAUACAUAAAGUAAAUAAAUACAUCUUUAAAAAAACAAAAUAAAA